GACGAACGCUAGCGGCGUGCUUAACACAUGCAAGUCGAACGGAAAGGCCCUGCUUUUGUGGGGUGCUCGAGUGGCGAACGGGUGAGUAACACGUGAGUAACCUGCCCUUGACUUUGGGAUAACUUCAGGAAACUGGGGCUAAUACCGGAUAGGAGCUCCUGCUGCAUGGUGGGGGUUGGAAAGUUUCGGCGGUUGGGAUGGACUCGCGGCUUAUCAGCUUGUUGGUGGGGUAGUGGCUUACCAAGGCUUUGACGGGUAGCCGGCCUGAGAGGGUGACCGGCCACAUUGGGACUGAGAUACGGCCCAGACUCCUACGGGAGGCAGCAGUGGGGAAUAUUGCACAAUGGGCGGAAGCCUGAUGCAGCAACGCCGCGUGCGGGAUGACGGCCUUCGGGUUGUAAACCGCUUUCGCCUGUGACGAAGCGUGAGUGACGGUAAUGGGUAAAGAAGCACCGGCUAACUACGUG
rnacentral:rRNA from 1 species